UCGAACGAGAAAAUCCCUUCGGGGGUGAGUAAAGUGGCACACGGGUGAGGAACGCGUAGGUAAUCUACCCUCAGGCGGGGGACAACACUCCGAAAGGAAUGCUAAUACCGCGUAAGACCACACUCACUAAGGUGAGAGUGGUAAAAGAUGGCCUCUUCUUGAAAGCUAUCACCAGAGGAUGAGCCUGCGUCCCAUCAGCUUGUUGGUAAGGUAACGGCUUACCAAGGCUAAGACGGGUAGCUGGUCUGAGAGGAUGAUCAGCCACACUGGCACUGGAACACGGGCCAGACUCCUACGGGAGGCAGCAGUGAGGAAUAUUGGGCAAUGGGCGCAAGCCUGACCCAGCCACGCCGCGUGUGUGAUGAAGGCCUUCGGGUCGUAAAGCACUGUGGGGAGGAACGAAAAACCUCCGUUCGAAUAGGGCGGAGACUUGACGGUACCUCCUUAGCAAGCACCGGCUAACUCUGUGCCAGCAGCCGCGGUAAUACAGAGGGUGCGAACGUUGCUCGGAUUUACUGGGCGUAAAGCGCGUGUAGGCGGACUCGCAAGUCGGUUGUGAAAUCCCUGGGCUCAACCUAGGAACUGCAUCCGAAACUGCUUGUCUUGAGUAAUGG
rnacentral:rRNA from 1 species